GCAAGUCCUUAUUUGGGGCACAAAUGUUUGAGGCCCUCCUAAGGUACCUUGUGUCUGUUUUUCUCCUAUAAUCUCCAUACAAGGCUGCACACUUCCAAGAAAGAUGUGGGUGGAGCCAGCUCUCAAGACUGUAUGCCUAAAUGGAGUCAAGGAAACAUAAGAUUGAUGGCUACUCACCCAAAAAAUUAGCAGCAGACAUAGAUCUUGCUGCCAAAAGAGCUGAUCUACAUUUUUUUUGGCUGAGAAAUAUCGCAAAUUUUUUAAUAGACAUUCUUCUAUAAUAUGACAUCUUUUCUUUACAAAUGUCAAUGCCUUUUAUUAGUCAACUGCUAGUGGCUAUUUAUUUUUAUCUAUUUCUUCCAAUAGUAGUCAAGGCAAAAUAAUCUAGCUAUUCUCAUUCGCCUUUUUGACUAAUCCUACCCAUUAAAAAAAAAAAUGACUGGUCAGGAUCAAGAACAAACUAAGACUAAACUUACACAGUAUAAACUAAACUUUGACCUUACUAUUACUCUACUAACCUGAGCUUCCCA
rnacentral:lncRNA from 1 species